GACGAACGCUGGCGGCGUGCUUAACACAUGCAAGUCGAACGCUGAAGCCCUGGCUUUUGUUGGGUUGGAUGAGUGGCGAACGGGUGAGUAACACGUGAGUAACCUGCCCUCUUCUUUGGGAUAACGCCCGGAAACGGGUGCUAAUACUGGAUAUUCACUGAUCUUCGCAUGGGGGUUGGUGGAAAGGUUUGUUCUGGUGGGGGAUGGGCUCGCGGCCUAUCAGCUUGUUGGUGGGGUGAUGGCCUACCAAGGCUUUGACGGGUAGCCGGCCUGAGAGGGUGACCGGUCACAUUGGGACUGAGAUACGGCCCAGACUACUACGGGAGGCAGCAGUGGGGAAUAUUGCACAAUGGGCGAAAGCCUGAUGCAGCGACGCCGCGUGAGGGAUGGAGGCCUUCGGGUUGUAAACCUCUUUCGCUCAUGGUCAAGCCGCAACUGUGGGUUGUGGUGAGGGUAGUGGGUAAAGAAGCGCCGGCUAACUACGUG
rnacentral:rRNA from 1 species